UCCAUAGGUUAAUGAGGCGAACCGGGGGAACUGAAACAUCUAAGUACCCCGAGGAAAAGAAAUCAACCGAGAUUCCCCCAGUAGCGGCGAGCGAACGGGGAGCAGCCCAGAGCCUGAAUCAGUGUGUGUGUUAGUGGAAGCGUCUGGAAAGGCGUGCGAUACAGGGUGACAGCCCCGUACACAAAAAUGCACAUAUUGUGAGCUCGAUGAGUAGGGCGGGACACGUGGUAUCCUGUCUGAAUAUGGGGGGACCAUCCUCCAAGGCUAAAUACUCCUGACUGACCGAUAGUGAACCAGUACCGUGAGGGAAAGGCGAAAAGAACCCCGGCGAGGGGAGUGAAAAAGAACCUGAAACCGUGUACGUACAAGCAGUGGGAGCACGCUUAGGCGUGUGACUGCGUACCUUUUGUAUAAUGGGUCAGCGACUUAUAUUCUGUAGCAAGGUUAACCGAAUAGGGGAGCCGAAGGGAAACCGAGUCUUAACUGGGCGUUAAGUUGCAGGGUAUAGACCCGAAACCCGGUGAUCUAGCCAUGGGCAGGUUGAAGGUUGGGUAACACUAACUGGAGGACCGAACCGACUAAUGUUGAAAAAUUAGCGGAUGACUUGUGGCUGGGGGUGAAAGGCCAAUCAAACCGGGAGAUAGCUGGUUCUCCCCGAAAGCUAUUUAGGUAGCGCCUCGUGAAUUCAUCUCCGGGGGUAGAGCACUGUUUCGGCAAGGGGGUCAUCCCGACUUACCAACCCGAUGCAAACUGCGAAUACCGGAGAAUGUUAUCACGGGAGACACACGGCGGGUGCUAACGUCCGUCGUGAAGAGGGAAACAACCCAGACCGCCAGCUAAGGUCCCAAAGUCAUGGUUAAGUGGGAAACGAUGUGGGAAGGCCCAGACAGCCAGGAUGUUGGCUUAGAAGCAGCCAUCAUUUAAAGAAAGCGUAAUAGCUCACUGGUCGAGUCGGCCUGCGCGGAAGAUGUAACGGGGCUAAACCAUGCACCGAAGCUGCGGCAGCGACACUAUGUGUUGUUGGGUAGGGGAGCGUUCUGUAAGCCUGUGAAGGUGUACUGUGAGGUAUGCUGGAGGUAUCAGAAGUGCGAAUGCUGACAUAAGUAACGAUAAAGCGGGUGAAAAGCCCGCUCGCCGGAAGACCAAGGGUUCCUGUCCAACGUUAAUCGGGGCAGGGUGAGUCGACUCCUAAGGCGAGGCCGAAAGGCGUAGUCGAUGGGAAACAGGUUAAUAUUCCUGUACUUGGUGUUACUGCGAAGGGGGGACGGAGAAGGCUAUGUUGGCCGGGCGACGGUUGUCCCGGUUUAAGCGUGUAGGCUGGUUUUCCAGGCAAAUCCGGAAAACUAAGGCUGAGGCGUGAUGACGAGGCACUACGGUGCUGAAGCAACAAAUGCCCUGCUUCCAGGAAAAGCCUCUAAGCAUCAGGUAACAUCAAAUCGUACCCCAAACCGACACAGGUGGUCAGGUAGAGAAUACCAAGGCGCUUGAGAGAACUCGGGUGAAGGAACUAGGCAAAAUGGUGCCGUAACUUCGGGAGAAGGCACGCUGAUAUGUAGGUGAAGUCCCUCGCGGAUGGAGCUGAAAUCAGUCGAAGAUACCAGCUGGCUGCAACUGUUUAUUAAAAACACAGCACUGUGCAAACACGAAAGUGGACGUAUACGGUGUGACGCCUGCCCGGUGCCGGAAGGUUAAUUGAUGGGGUCAGCGCAAGCGAAGCUCUUGAUCGAAGCCCCGGUAAACGGCGGCCGUAACUAUAACGGUCCUAAGGUAGCGAAAUUCCUUGUCGGGUAAGUUCCGACCUGCACGAAUGGCGUAAUGAUGGCCAGGCUGUCUCCACCCGAGACUCAGUGAAAUUGAACUCGCUGUGAAGAUGCAGUGUACCCGCGGCAAGACGGAAAGACCCCGUGAACCUUUACUAUAGCUUGACACUGAACAUUGAGCCUUGAUGUGUAGGAUAGGUGGGAGGCUUUGAAGUGUGGACGCCAGUCUGCAUGGAGCCGACCUUGAAAUACCACCCUUUAAUGUUUGAUGUUCUAACGUUGACCCGUAAUCCGGGUUGCGGACAGUGUCUGGUGGGUAGUUUGACUGGGGCGGUCUCCUCCUAAAGAGUAACGGAGGAGCACGAAGGUUGGCUAAUCCUGGUCGGACAUCAGGAGGUUAGUGCAAUGGCAUAAGCCAGCUUGACUGCGAGCGUGACGGCGCGAGCAGGUGCGAAAGCAGGUCAUAGUGAUCCGGUGGUUCUGAAUGGAAGGGCCAUCGCUCAACGGAUAAAAGGUACUCCGGGGAUAACAGGCUGAUACCGCCCAAGAGUUCAUAUCGACGGCGGUGUUUGGCACCUCGAUGUCGGCUCAUCACAUCCUGGGGCUGAAGUAGGUCCCAAGGGUAUGGCUGUUCGCCAUUUAAAGUGGUACGCGAGCUGGGUUUAGAACGUCGUGAGACAGUUCGGUCCCUAUCUGCCGUGGGCGCUGGAGAACUGAGGGGGGCUGCUCCUAGUACGAGAGGACCGGAGUGGACGCAUCACUGGUGUUCGGGUUGUCAUGCCAAUGGCACUGCCCGGUAGCUAAAUGCGGAAGAGAUAAGUGCUGAAAGCAUCUAAGCACGAAACUUGCCCCGAGAUGAGUUCUCCCUGACUCCUUGAGAGUCCUGAAGGAACGUUGAAGACGACGACGUUGAUAGGUCGGGUGUGUAAGCGCAGCGAUGCGUUGAGCUAACCGGUACUAAUGAACCGUGAGGCUUAACCUUACAACGCCGAAGGUGUUU
rnacentral:rRNA from 1 species